CAGCGCCACGAGUAGGAACCGGUAUUAUUGGGCCUAAAGCGUCCGUAGCAGGUUUAGUAAAUUACUUGUGAAAUCGGAUGGCUUAACCAUUCGGAAUGCAGGUAAGACUGCUAAACUAGAGACCGGGAGACGUUGGAGGUAUUUAAGGGGGAGCGGUAAAAUGCGAGAAUCCUUUGAGGACCACCUGUUGCGAAGGCGUCCAACAAUAACGGGUCUGACUGUGAGGGACGAAAGCUAGGGGAGCGAACCGGAUUAGAUACCCGAGUAGUCC
rnacentral:rRNA from 1 species